rnacentral:pre_miRNA from 1 species
AGGAGGAACAACCGCAGUGGCGGCGGCAGCCCUGCAGCCCUGGAGUCAGCCCCCGCAGUAACUCCGGAGCUCUCUGUCUGCAGGGCCUGGAGGCUCCGGGGCGGG